rnacentral:rRNA from 1 species
CCUACGGGUGGCAGCAGUAGGGAAUCUUUCACAAUGGGCGAAAGCCUGAUGGAGCAACGCCGCGUGCGGGAUGAAGGCCUUCGGGUUGUAAACUGCUUUUAUAAGCGAGAAAUAUGAUGGUAACUUAUGAAUAAGGAUCGGCUAACUACGUGCCAGCAGCCGCGGUCAUACGUAGGAUCCGAGCAUUAUCCGGAGUGACUGGGUGUAAAGAGUUGCGGGGGUGGCAUAAUAAGUAGCUAGGAAAAUCGGGUGGCCCAACCAUUCAGACUAUUAGCUAAACUGUGCAGCUAGAGACCGUUAGGGGUAACUGGAAUUUCUAGUGUAGGAGUGAAAUCCGUAGAUAUUAGAAGGAACACCAAUAGCGUAGGCAGGUUACUGGGACGGUUCUGACACUAAGGCACGAAAGCGUAGGGAGCAAACGGGAUUAGAUACCCUAGUAGUC